CGCUGGCGGCGUGCCUAAUACAUGCAAGUCGAGCGCGGGAAGCGGACUCGUCACCCUUCGGGGUGUCUAGUCCGUGGAACGAGCGGCGGAUGGGUGAGUAUCACGUGGGCAACCUGCCUGUAAGAUUGGGAUAACUCGCGGAAACGUGAGCUAAUACCGAAUGAAGUCUUUCACCGCCUGGUGAAAGGAUGAAAGAUGGCUUUUAGCUAUCACUUACAGAUGGGCCCGCGGCGCAUUAGCUAGUUGGUGGGGUAAAGGCCUACCAAGGCGACGAUGCGUAGCCGACCUGAGAGGGUGAUCGGCCACACUGGGACUGAGACACGGCCCAGACUCCUACGGGAGGCAGCAGUAGGGAAUCUUCCGCAAUGGACGAAAGUCUGACGGAGCAACGCCGCGUGAGUGAAUGAAGGUCUUCGGAUCGUAAAACUCUGUUGUCAGGGAAGAACAAGUUGUGUUCUAACAGGACAUGACCUUGACGGUACCUGACCAGAAAGCCCCGGCUAACUACGUGCCAGCAGCAGC
rnacentral:rRNA from 1 species